AGAGUUUGAUCCUGGCUCAGGAUGAACGUUGGCGGCGUGCUUAACACAUGCAAGUCGAACGCAGAUAGCAAUAUUUGAGUGGCGCACGGGUGAGUAACACGUAGCUUACCUACCCUGAAGAGUGGGAUAACGUUCCGAAAGGGAUGCUAAUACCGCAUAAGCUCACGGGCUCUAGAGGCUUGAGAGAAAACGGGGAAACUCGCUUCAGGAGGGGGCUGCGGCCCAUCAGCUAGUUGGUGAGGUAAAGGCUUACCAAGGCGACGACGGGUAGGGGACCUGAGAGGGUGACCCCCCACACUGGGACUGAGACACGGCCCAGACUCCUACGGGAGGCAGCAGUGAGGGAUAUUGCACAAUGGGCGCAAGCCUGAUGCAGCGAACCGCCGCGUGGAUGAUGAAGGCCUUCGGGUCGUAAAAUCCUUUUGCGCGUGACGAGGACAAGGACGGUAGCGCGCGAAUAAGUCUCGGCUAACUACGUGCCAGCAGCUGC
rnacentral:rRNA from 1 species